GGUAACUGUAGUACAGGGAAGACAGCAGGUUUGAAUUCAGUUCAGCAGGCUGGCUCCCCACUGGAACUGAGCUCUCACGACUCUUCUCUUAUCAUGAAAAUGGAAGUGUUGGACUACAGUUGGGACCUUUGGAACAGAGAUGAGGAAAUGGAGAUCCAGAAGGGACAAGUCACAUCCUAACAUGACAAGACUGGGGAAUACUGGCAGGAGAAGUCAAACUCAGCAGAGGUCUGAUGAU